UGUAAAUUGAUUUCUUCGACUUGAAUCCAUUUUUCGGUUGAACCCACGGCUUCUAAUCGACCAUGGCUUAUUAUUUUUACAAACCUUUUUUUCCCCCUUUUUGGCCUUGAUUUCUUGAUGACAAUGAUUGGGAUUGGUUGUGGGUGUUGGUAAUGGUGAGUAUCGGGGGGUGGAUGGUGUGUAUGACAUGAUAGGGUAAAGAUGAAUGGUGCCUCAUCUUUAUGGUACUGUGGCAUGGUAGAAAAGAGGAAAAGGGUUAACAGAGGUGGUGGUGCUGCUGCCGUGAGGGGAAAAAAUGAGGAGGGUAGUAGGAAUGGAAGAAAAUGAAGGAAAAUUGGAAGGAAGGAAAAGAAAAAGAUUAUUGUGCCAUAAGGGGAAUGGUAGGUACGGGCAGUGGUGGCAAGUGUUGCGAGGGAGAGAAGAGGCAAGGCAAUGGUGGAAGUGAAGGAAAAGAAAGUGGCUAGUUGUAGAGAGUUCCGUGAGGAAGGUGAGGGUAGUGGUGGCGAUGGUGCUGUGAGUAAGAGAUGGAGGAUGACAGUUGAGUAGAGAAAAGCUCAUAGAGAAGAACAAGGCCAAUUGAGUGAUUGAGUUGAAUGAAGAGAAAGACUAGGGUCCUGUCUUAAGAGACAGUAGUAUUGAACCAAUAGUGAGAUAAAAGUCCGCAAACAUCAUAUUUAUUUUGAAAAACUGUCAAGGAUUAAAAAUAAAAAUUAAAGUCUUCAAAUAAGCUUUAAAUAAUAAAAGUAAAAACAGACUAAUGUUUAAUUAAAAAACUUUCUUCCUUUCGUUACUUUCAUCAAAAAACUAAAAAAAUUCCUGGUUGGCCGAAUUUAUUGCACUACUUCUAAAUGCAAAGAAAUCAAUCAUUAAUAGAAAUAAGAAUUAUAACUAAGUUAUCAAAUUGACCAGGUUAAAAAAAAAUACACAAGCAUAACUAGAUUUAUAGUCAAAAGCAAAUAUAACAACUCAUAAAAUAUC